rnacentral:lncRNA from 1 species
CUUAGGAAUAGAAAGGAAAAAAUGAUAAUAGUAUAGUCCUAGAGAAAAGAGGAGAGAAUGAAAUCCACAGACACGUGUUAAAAGAUUGGUCUUGGCCUGGGGAAUGGACAUUUCUUCUUUGUGUCAGGAGAAGAUGAGGGUCCAGAUAUAACAGAACCCAUAUUUUCAUUUCUCAGGGGGAGAGAUAAUAUUUAAUGACUUUUAGUAAAAAUGAUAGAACUUUGAUAUUUUAGCUGACAAUAUGAACAGCUCUAAUUAUUUUGCAGGGGACAAAAUAUAGACCCCGUCUAAAGCGAUUCCUGCAACUGAGUUUAAUGUAGCUAUACCUAGACAAAACUCAAGUGGACACUUAACUUCAUAAAAUCAAAAUUUGU